UACGUAGGGGCAAGCGUUGUCCGGAAUUAUUGGGCGUAAAGCGCGCGCAGGCGGUCUCUUAAGUCUGAUGUGAAAUCUCGCAGCUUAACUGUGUGCGGUCAUUGGAAACUGAGGGACUUGAGGACAGGUGAGGAGAGUGGAAUUCCACGUGUAGCGGUGAAAUGCGUAGAGAUGUGGAGGAACACCAGUGGCGAAGGUGACUCUCUAGUCUGUAUCUGACGCUGAGGUGCAAAAGCGUGGGUAGCAAACA
rnacentral:rRNA from 1 species